rnacentral:rRNA from 1 species
AACGAACGCUGGCGGCAUGCCUAACACAUGCAAGUCGAACGAGACCUUCGGGUCUAGUGGCGCACGGGUGCGUAACGCGUGGGAACCUGCCCUUAGGUUCGGAAUAACUCCCCGAAAGGGGUGCUAAUACCGGAUAAUGUCUUCGGACCAAAGAUUUAUCGCCUUUGGAUGGGCCCGCGUUGGAUUAGCUAGUUGGUAGGGUAAAAGCCUACCAAGGCGACGAUCCAUAGCUGGUCUGAGAGGAUGAUCAGCCACACUGGGACUGAGACACGGCCCAGACUCCUACGGGAGGCAGCAGUGGGUAAUAUUGGACAAUGGGCGAAAGCCUGAUCCAGCAAUGCCGCGUGAGUGAUGAAGGCCUUAGGGUUGUAAAGCUCUUUUACCCGGGAGGAUAAUGACAGUACCGGGAGAAUAAGCUCCGGCUAACUCCGUG